rnacentral:rRNA from 1 species
CAGCAGCCGCGGUAGUACGUAGGUGGCAAGCGUUGUCCGGAAUUAUUGGGCGUAAAGGGCUCGCAGGCGGUUUCUUAAGUCUGAUGUGAAAGCCCCCGGCUCAACCGGGGAGGGUCAUUGGAAACUGGGAAACUUGAGUGCAGAAGAGGAGAGUGGAAUUCCACGUGUAGCGGUGAAAUACGUAGAGAUGUGGAGGAACACCAGUGGCGAAGGCGACUCUCUGGUCUGUAACUGACGCUGAGGAGCGAAAGCGUGAGGAGCGAACAGGAUUAGAUACCCCUGUAGUCCCUGUCUCUUAUAC